rnacentral:lncRNA from 1 species
AGUAAAUCUCUUGUUUCCUUAGUCAAUGAAUGCUCUGCUUCUGCGCCUCUUCAUACUUUUCGCUAGCUAAGCGAGCCCUUCUUGGGAGACCUCUAGAUCCCUGCCCUGCGUGUUCCAUUCUAGCUACCGGGGUGUUCUUUUUCUUCUCAUACGAGAUUUCUAAAUCUGAUUCUAUCUCCACUGAAGGGGAACUAAUCCAACUAUGGAUUUCUCUUCUACUUAGCUAAACGAAUAGGGUCAUCGCCGACACCUGUAGUAAUCAACUGCUUUUUUUCUUUUAGGCUAGCCUAUCUAAAGAGUGAAACUCGUACCUCCAAAGCAGCUCCGAAGCAACUCGUAUCAGGCCAACAUGGGAUUGGCCCAAUAGAAAAAUCGCACGAGAACCAACCCUCAUGUGUGAUUCCCUUCAAAGGGCACCAAACUUGCUUUCUAUAUUGUAGAGCUUCCAGAGGUUCGUCUUAUACCAAAGGGACUAUU